rnacentral:rRNA from 1 species
UACGUAGGGUGCAAGCGUUGUCCGGAAUUAUUGGGCGUAAAGAGCUCGUAGGCGGUCCGUCACGUCGGCUGUGAAAACCUGGGGCUCAACCCCGGGCCUGCAGCCGAUACGGGCGGACUAGAAUUCGGUAGGGGAGACUGGAAUUCCUGGUGUAGCGGUGAAAUGCGCAGAUAUCAGGAGGAACACCGGUGGCGAAGGCGGGUCUCUGGGCCGAUAUUGACGCUGAGGAGCGAAAGCCAGGGGAGCAAACGGG